rnacentral:misc_RNA from 1 species
UUUCCGUAGGUGAACCUGCGGAAGGAUCAUUACUGAGUGAGGGCCCUCUGGGUCCAACCUCCCACCCGUGUUUAUUAUACCUUGUUGCUUCGGUGAGCCCGCCUCACGGCCGCCGGGGGGCAUCUGCCCCCGGGACCGCGCCCACCGAAGACACCUAGAACUCUGUAUGAAGAUUGCAGUCUGAGCAAAAACUAAAUAAGUUAAAACUUUCAACAACGGAUCUCUUGGUUCCG